rnacentral:lncRNA from 1 species
AAGUAUAGUGGGAGAUGCAGAAGUAUGGAACUUCAAGGAUUCGUGAGGUUGACGGACUAUUGAUACUGCAGUUUUCAUGUCUUCGAAAGUUGGCUAACACGAAUGCAUUAUUUGACAAUUUGCGUUACUGCAAUCGCAGCCGAGUAUGUCUAUUGUGUAUCUCGACAUCAAAUAGGCACUUGCAGAUUCUUCGGUUAUGUGAAGAAAUUAUUAAGAAGAUCUCAGUAUUUGA